GAUCCUGGCUCAGAUUGAACGCUGGCGGAAUGCUUUACACAUGCAAGUCGAACGGCAGCACGGACUUCGGUCUGGUGGCGAGUGGCGAACGGGUGAGUAAUAUAUCGGAACGUGCCCAGUCGUGGGGGAUAACGUAGUGAAAAUUACGCUAAUACCGCAUACGAUCUACGGAUGAAAGCGGGGGAUCGCAAGACCUCGCGCGAUUGGAGCGGCCGAUAUCAGAUUAGGUAGUUGGUAGGGUAAAAGCCUACCAAGCCCGCGAUCUGUAGCUGGUCUGAGAGGACGACCAGCCACACUGGAACUGAGACACGGUCCAGACUCCUACGGGAGGCAGCAGUGGGGAAUUUUGGACAAUGGGCGAAAGCCUGAUCCAGCAAUGCCGCGUGCAGGACGAAGGCCUUCGGGUUGUAAACUGCUUUUGUACGGAACGAAAAGGUAGCUCCUAAUACGAGCUGCUGAUGACGGUACCGUAAGAAUAAGCACCGGCUAACUACGUG
rnacentral:rRNA from 1 species